CAGUAGCCGCGGGAAUACCAGCACCUCGAGUGGUCAGGAGGUUUAUUGGGCCUAAAGCAUCCGUAGCCGGUUGCAUAAGUUUUCGGUUAAAUCUAUGCGCUUAACGUAUAGGCCGCCGAAAAUACUGUGCAGCUAGGGAGUGGGAGAGGUACACGGUACUCGAUAGGAAGGGGUAAAAUCCUUUGAUCUAUUGAUGACCACCUGUGGCGAAGGCGGUGUACCAGAACACGUUCGACGGUGAGGGAUGAAAGCUGGGGGAGCAAACAGGAUUAGAUACCCGAGUAGUCCCUGUCUCUUAUAC
rnacentral:rRNA from 1 species